UUUUUUUUUUUUUUUUUUUUUUUUUUUUUUUUUUUUUUUUUCCGCGCU
rnacentral:ribozyme from 13 species